CAUGUGGUGGAUGCCUUGGCGAUCACAGGCGAUGAAGGACGCGGUAGCCUGCGAAAAGCGGAGGGGAGCUGGCAAACGAGCUUUGAUCCUCCGAUAUCCGAAUGGGGAAACCCGGCCCGUAUGGGUCAUCCGUAACUGAAUACAUAGGUUACGUGAAGCGAACGCGGUGAACUGAAACAUCUAAGUAACCGCAGGAAAAGAAAUCAACCGAGAUUCCCAGAGUAGUGGCGAGCGAAAUGGGACCAGCCUGUACUCUUUAUCUUCAUUGUUAGUCGAAGGCUCUGGAAAGUGCCGCCAUAGUGGGUGAUAGCCCCGUAUCCGAAACCUGAGUCUGGUGAAAUCGAGUAGGACGGGACACGUGAUAUCCUGUCUGAACAUGGGGGGACCAUCCUCCAAGGCUAAAUACUCCUGACUGACCGAUAGUGAACCAGUACCGUGAGGGAAAGGCGAAAAGAACCCCGGGAGGGGAGUGAAAUAGAACCUGAAACCGUAUACGUACAAGCAGUAGGAGCAGACUUGUUCUGUGACUGCGUACCUUUUGUAUAAUGGGUCAGCGACUUAUAUUUAGUAGCAAGGUUAACCGAAUAGGGGAGCCGUAGCGAAAGCGAGUGUUAACUGCGCGUUGAGUUGCUAGGUAUAGACCCGAAACCCGGUGAUCU
rnacentral:rRNA from 15 species